rnacentral:ncRNA from 1 species
UGAAAAACGUUUGAGAGGGACCGGCAUCAAUUCCUAAAAAGCAAUCGAAGCGACCCGGGGGCGGUGUGAGCCCGGGAUUGCCGGAAUUUUUGUGAAUCAGCCCUCAAGUUUCCUUUCUGAACCUUGCAGUAGGAAAGGACGUCCCAUCACGUUACGAUGUUUGAGCGGAUAAGCCGAAAUCAGGCUUAUCUAAAAGGGUGGUACCGCGAGAUCAAAGCCUUCUCGUCCCUUAU